CCUACGGGAGGCAGCAGUGAGGAAUAUUGGUCAAUGGACGAGAGCCUGAACCAGCCAAGUAGCGUGAAGGAUGACUGCCCUAUGGGUUGUAAACUUCUUUUAUAUGGGAAUAAAAUGUUCCACGUGUGGGAUUUUGUAUGUACCAUAUGAAUAAGGAUCGGCUAACUCCGUGCCAGCAGCCGCGGUAAUACGGAGGAUCCGAGCGUUAUCCGGAUUUAUUGGGUUUAAAGGGAUCGUAGGUGGAUUGUUAAGUCAGUUGUGAAAGUUUGGGGCUCAACCGUAAAAUUGCAGAUGAAACUGGCAGUCUUGAGUACGGUAGAGGUGGGCGGAAUUCGUGGUGUAGCGGUGAAAUGCUUAGAUAUCACGAAGAACUCCGAUUGCGAAGGCAGCUCACUGGACUGCAACUGACGCUGAGGCUCGAAAGUGUGGGUAUCAAACAGGAUUAGAUACCCGGGUAGUC
rnacentral:rRNA from 1 species